GUAGGUGGCAAGCGUUGUCCGGAAUUAUUGGGCGUAAAGCGCGCGCAGGCGGUUCUUUAGGUCUGAUGUGAAAGCCCACGGCUCAACCGUGGAGGGUCAUUGGAAACUGGAGAACUUGAGUACAGAAGAGGAAAGCGGAAUUCCACGUGUAGCGGUGAAAUGCGUAGAGAUGCGGAGGAACACCAGUGGCGAAGGCGGCUUUCUGGUCUGUAACUGACGCUGAGGCGCGAAAGCGUGGGGAGCAAACAGGGAUUAGAUACCCUGGUAGUCCACGCCGUAAACGAUGAGUGCUAAGUGUUAGGGGGUUUCCGCCCCCUUAGUGCUGCAGCUAACGCAUUAAGCACUCCGCCUGGGGAGUACGGCCGCAAGGCUG
rnacentral:rRNA from 1 species